AUGGUCCGAGUUUGAAAGAUGGCUUCGGCUAUCACUUUUGGAUGGUCCCGCGGCGUAUUAGCUAGAUGGUGAGGUAACGGCUUACCAUGGCAAUGAUACGUAGCCGACCUGAGAGGGUAAUCGGCCACAUUGGGACUGAGACACGGCCCAAACUCCUACGGGAGGCAGCAGUAGGGAAACUUCCACAAUGGACGAAAGUCUGAUGGAGCAACGCCGCGUGAGUGAAGAAGGGUUUCGGCUCGUAAAACUCUGUUGUUAAAGAAGAACAUAUCUGAGAGUAACUGUUCAGGUAUUGACGGUAUUUAACCAGAAAGCCACGGCUAACUACGUGCCAGCAGCCGCGGUAAUACGUAGGUGGCAAGCGUUGUCCGGAUUUAUUGGGCGUAAAGCGAGCGCAGGCGGUUUUUUUAGUCUGAUGUGAAAGCCUUCGGCUCAACCGAAGAAGUGCAUCGGAAACUGGGAAACUUGAGUGCAGAAGAGGACAGUGGAACUCCAUGUGUAGCGGUGAAAUGCGUAGAUAUAUGGAAGAACACCAGUGGCGAAGGCGGCUGUCUGGUCUGUAACUGACGCUGAGGCUCGAAAGUAUGGGUAGCAAACAGGAUUAGAUACCCUGGUAG
rnacentral:rRNA from 2 species